rnacentral:misc_RNA from 1 species
UGACAUUAACUGCCUCCCUUCUGCUUGAGAGUGAUCUUAUCACCCAGACUCAGAGCAAUUCCCUGGGUCUUGCUCCUUAUCCUGAUGUAUCCACUAAGCUUCCCAUCUGCCUGUUUUUCAAUGCUUACAUUUACCAGAGCAUCCUCCCCAAAAACACUUUUCGCAUACAAGUUAGCGGCUAGAAAUCCGCAUUCACCAUCUAGUGCAGACGGUGCAGU